rnacentral:rRNA from 1 species
GAUGAACGCUGGCGGCGUGCCUAAUACAUGCAAGUCGAGCGAACAGACGAGGAGCUUGCUCCUCUGACGUUAGCGGCGGACGGGUGAGUAACACGUGGAUAACCUACCUAUAAGACUGGGAUAACUUCGGGAAACCGGAGCUAAUACCGGAUAAUAUAUUGAACCGCAUGGUUCAAUAGUGAAAGACGGUUUUGCUGUCACUUCUAGAUGGAUCCGCGCCGCAUUAGCUAGUUGGUAAGGUAACGGCUUACCAAGGCAACGAUGCGUAGCCGACCUGAGAGGGUGAUCGGCCACACUGGAACGGAGACACGGUCCAGGCUCCUACGGGAGGCAGCAGUAGGGAAUCUUCCGCAAUGGGCGAAAGCCUGACGGAGCAACGCCGCGUGAGUGAUGAAGGUCUUCGGAUCGUAAAACUCUGUUAUUAGGGAAGAACAAAUGUGUAAGUAACUAUGCACGUCUUGACGGUACCUAAUCAGAAAGCCACGGCUAACUACGUG